rnacentral:tRNA from 1 species
GCCGGGGUGGCGAAACCGGUACACGCGGCAGACUUAAAAUCUGCUGGGCUUCAUGGCCCUUGCGGGUUCGAGUCCCGCCCCCGGCA